rnacentral:rRNA from 1 species
AGUGAACGCUGGCGGUAGGCCUAACACAUGCAAGUCGAACGGCAGCACAGUAAGAGCUUGCUCUUACGGGUGGCGAGUGGCGGACGGGUGAGGAAUACAUUGGAAUCUACUUUUUCGUGGGGGAUAACGUAGGGAAACUUACGCUAAUACCGCAUACGACCUACGGGUGAAAGCAGGGGAUCUUCGGACCUUGCGCGAUUGAAUGAGCCGAUGUCGGAUUAGCUAGUUGGCGGGGUAAAGGCCCGCCAAGGCGACGAUCCGUAGCUGGUCUGAGAGGAUGAUCAGCCACACUGGAACUGAGACACGGUCCAGACUCCUACGGGAGGCAGCAGUGGGGAAUAUUGGACAAAGGGCGCAAGCCUGAUCCAGCCAUACCGCGUGAGUGAAGAAGGCCUUCGGGUUGUAAAGCCCUUUUGUUGGGAAAGAAAAGCAGCAGGUUAAUACCCCGCUGUUCUGACGGUACCCAAAGAAUAAGCACCGGCUAACUUCGUG